UCUGAGAGUUCUGAAAGUGGCUUCCCCUAGUCUGAUGUCACAGUCUCCAAAGUUAUCAGAAAAAAGAAUGCAAGUUAUUCUUCAGGGCAAAGAAAAAGGCAUAAUUGUUUUCUCUCAAGUCUUUUUAAAACCACAAAAAUAUGUAACCCAUUUAAAUUGCAGACAUUUCAAGUGUUACACUCAUGCUGGCAGGCAUCUGUAUUUUCACAUUCAUCAAUAUCUGUUCAGGAAGAAGACAGAGAGUUAUAACUCCACCACAGGGCGAAAAAGCAGACACUGUGACAGAGCCAACUCUCAUCAAGUUGUUGAUAUACAUUAGAAAAACUUCUUGGUGAUUUUAUACUCGUGUUAAAAAAUGCUCAGAGCUAUUUUCUAUGAAGAUACUUUUAUGUUAUAAAAAUACUGAAUAUAGUACUAUAUACACAGUACUAUAUUACAAAUUAUGGACAUUUCUUUGUGUAAGCACAUAUAUGCUGAAGUCCCAAACGGGUCAAUUUUUAUAUUACUUAAGUAAGAGUGACAUGACAGAGGAAACAAAUGUAGACAGGAUCCUAAACCACCAAAAUAUGAAACUCUUUAAGGAAUAGUAGAAAUUACCUGAAAUACAAUAUUC
rnacentral:lncRNA from 1 species